AUGUAAUUUCAAAGAAGACUCAUUUGGCUGUGAAACUAAGGGCUCUUAACUCUGUGACCAAAGAUUUCGAUUCUCCAAAGGAUACUAUA
rnacentral:snoRNA from 1 species